rnacentral:rRNA from 1 species
AUUGAACGCUGGCGGCAUGCCUUACACAUGCAAGUCGAACGGUAACAGGUUAAGCUGACGAGUGGCGAACGGGUGAGUAAUGUAUCGGAACGUGCCCAGUCGUGGGGGAUAACUACUCGAAAGAGUGGCUAAUACCGCGUACGACCUGAGGGUGAAAGCGGGGGACCGUAAGGCCUCGCGCGAUUGGAGCGGCGGAUAUCGGAUUAGCGCGUUGGCGGGGUACAAGCCCACCAAGGCGACGAUCUGUAGCUGGUCUGAGAGGACGACCAACCACACUGGGACUGAGCCACGGCCCAGACUCCUACGGGAGGCAGAAGUGGGGAAUUUUGGACAAUGGACGCAAGUCUGAUCCAGCCAUGCCGCGUGCGGGAAGAAGGCCUUCGGGUUGUAAACCGCUUUGGUCAGGGAAGAAACGCUCUGGAUUAAUACUCUGGGGUAAUGACGGUACCUGAAGAAUAAGCACCGGCUAACUACGUGCCAGCAGCCGCCGUAACAC